rnacentral:misc_RNA from 1 species
GAUGAAGAACGUAGUGAAAUGCGAUAAGUAAUGUGAAUUGCAGAAUUCAGUGAAUCAUCGAAUCUUUGAACGCACAUUGCGCCCCCUGGUAUUCCGGGGGGCAUGCCUGUCCGAGCGUCAUUACAACCCUCAAGCUCAGCUUGGUGUUGGGCCCCGCCGCCCCGGCGGGCCCUAAAGUCAGUGGCGGUGCCGCCCGGCUCCGAGCGUAGUAAUUCUUCUCGCUCUGGAGGUCCGGUCGUGUGCUCGCCAGCAACCCCCAAUUUUUUUCAGGUUGACCUCGGAUCAGGUAGGGAUACCCGCUGAACUUAAGCAUAUCAAUAAGCGGAGGA